rnacentral:rRNA from 1 species
CCUACGGGGGGCUGCAGUGGGGAAUAUUGCGCAAUGGGCGAAAGCCUGACGCAGCGACGCCGCGUGAGGGAUGAAGGUCUUCGGAUCGUAAACCUCUGUCCGCAGGGAAGAACGGUCACUGUGUUAAUCAGCAGUGAAUUGACGGUACCUGCAAAGGAAGCACCGGCUAACUCCGUGCCAGCCGCCGCGGUAAUACGGAGGGUGCGAGCGUUAAUCGGAAUUACUGGGCGUAAAGCGCUCGUAGGCGGUAUGUCAAGUCAAGGGUGAAAUCCCCGCGCUCAACGUGGGAACUGCCUUUGAAACUGGCAAACUGGAGUGUGUGAGAGGAUAGUGGAAUUCCAGGUGUAGGAGUGAAAUCCGUAGAUAUCUGGAGGAACAUCAGUGGCGAAGGCGACUAUCUGGCACAUAACUGACGCUGAGGAGCGAAAGCGUGGGUAGCAAACAGGAGUAGAUACCCCAGUAGUC